CAGCAAAUGACAGAGUGAGGCCACGCAUGCCCAUAGAGAGGUGAGAAGGAUAUGGAUGGGACUCUG
ensembl:miRNA Mir6388 microRNA 6388